UACGUAGGGUGCGAGCGUUGUCCGGAUUUAUUGGGCGUAAAGAGCUCGUAGGCGGUUUGUCGCGUCGGCCGUGAAAUCUCCACGCUUAACGUGGAGCGUGCGGUCGAUACGGGCAGACUUGAGUUCGGUAGGGGAGACUGGAAUUCCUGGUGUAGCGGUGAAAUGCGCAGAUAUCAGGAGGAACACCGGUGGCGAAGGCGGGUCUCUGGGCCGAUACUGACGCUGAGGAGCGAAAGCAUGGGUAGCAAACAGG
rnacentral:rRNA from 1 species